CUUGGUCAUUUAGAGGAAGUAAAAGUCGUAACAAGGUCUCCGUUGGUGAACCAGCGGAGGGAUCAUUACCGAGUUAUUCAACUCAUCAACCCUGUGAACAUACCUAAACGUUGCUUCGGCGGGAACAGACGGCCCCGUGAAACGGGCCGCCCCCGCCAGAGGACCCCUAACUCUGUUUCUAUAAUGUUUCUUCUGAGUAAAACAAGCAAAUAAAUUAAAACUUUCAACAACGGAUCUCUUGGCUCUGGCAUCGAUGAAGAACGCAGCGAAAUGCGAUAAGUAAUGUGAAUUGCAGAAUUCAGUGAAUCAUCGAAUCUUUGAACGCACAUUGCGCCCGCCAGUAUUCUGGCGGGCAUGCCUGUUCGAGCGUCAUUACAACCCUCAGGCCCCCGGGCCUGGCGUUGGGGAUCGGCGGAGCCCCCCGUGGGCACACGCCGUCCCCCAAAUGCAGUGGCGGUCCCGCCGCAGCUUCCAUCGCGUAGUAGCUAACACCUCGCGACUGGAGAGCGGCGCGGCCACGCCGUAAAACACCCAACUCUUCUGAAGUUGACCUCGAAUCAGGUAGGAAUACCCGCUGAACUUAAGCAUAUCAAUAAGCGGAGGA
rnacentral:rRNA from 1 species